rnacentral:rRNA from 1 species
UCGGUGAUUAGUGGCGAACGGGUGAGUAACACGUGAGUAACCUGCCCUUAACUCUGGGAUAAGCCUGGGAAACUGGGUCUAAUACCGGAUAUGACUCCUCAUCGCAUGGUGGGGGGUGGAAAGCUUUUUUGUGGUUUUGGAUGGACUCGCGGCCUAUCAGCUUGUUGGUGAGGUAAUGGCUUACCAAGGCGACGACGGGUAGCCGGCCUGAGAGGGUGACCGGCCACACUGGGACUGAGACACGGCCCAGACUCCUACGGGAGGCAGCAGUGGGGAAUAUUGCACAAUGGGCGGAAGCCUGAUGCAGCGACGCCGCGUGAGGGAUGACGGCCUUCGGGUUGUAAACCUCUUUCAGUAGGGAAGAAGCGUAAGUGACGGUACCUGCAGAAGAAGCGCCGGCUAACUACGUGCCAGCAGCCGCGGUAAUACGUAGGGCGCAAGCGUUAUCCGGAAUUAUUGGGCGUAAAGAGCUCGUAGGCGGUUUGUCGCGUCUGCCGUGAAAGUCCGGGGCUCAACUCCGGAUCUGCGGUGGGUACGGGCAGACUAGAGUGAUGUAGGGGAGACUGGAAUUCCUGGUGUAGCGGUGAAAUGCGCAGAUAUCAGGAGGAACACCGAUGGCGAAGGCAGGUCUCUGGGCAUUAACUGACGCUGAGGAGCGAAAGCAUGGGGAGCGAACAGGAUUAGAUACCCUGGUAGUCCAUGCCGUAAACGUUGGGCACUAGGUGUGGGGGACAUUCCACGUUUUCCGCGCCGUANCUAACGCAUUAAGUGCCCCGCCUGGGGAGUACGGCCGCAAGGCUUAAAACUCAAAGGAAUUUGACGGGGGGCCCCGCACAAAGCGGCGGGANCAUGCNGNAUUAAUUUCNAUGCNAACGCGAAAAAACCUUACCAAGGGCNUUGACAUGAANUAAUUAANGGCNCNANAAAUNGCNUCCCCCCUUNUUGAGGCUNGNUUUANAGGUGGGUGNANUGGUUUNUCCUCCANCCUC